AAACGGAUGGAUUUUGAUACUAAGCGGGACACGCCUUUGGAGGAGCGGUCCCCCGUGUCCCCAGCGCUGCGAUAAACAAAGUGCCCGCUUCUUAACUUCACGUUGGUGUUAAGGAGUUUUAUUCCGGAUUUCGGUAACGGUUUUGGCGACCCAGAUGGGACCUUGCGAGUGAGACUGGACGAGAUCGAGUGUCGAUCGAACUCCGGCCGGCACCGAGGUAUUCUCGGGGAGAACCAUCACCCUCGACUCGCAAAGCUCCUCGCAGCGUUCCCUGGAAAAAAGGUAAGGCGCUGCUUCUUUGGAAUUGGUUUGGAAAGCCUGCCCGUGAGGCGCGGCGAAAGCUUCGCAGGGUUGGGGCUUGGAGGGUACCCGUCUGCAGCGGAAGCCUAGGCGUCUGCCCGUAAGUCAUAAGCGAAAGCUAUUGCUGGGUUGGACUUUGUGUAUUAUUUGGGACAAUUGUCAUUUGCGUUUCUUUGGUAUUUGGUAUUUGAAUGUAUAUAAGUAUAAUGGCAUUAGCAAAAUUGUUUAAGAAUAAGAGUGCAGGAAAUAGAACUGCUGAUGAAAAGAUACCAAAAACAUCACCGUUGGGAUGUUUAUUGGCACACUGGGGUGAAUUGCAGGAAAAAUGGAUGGUUACCAAAAGCAGAAGAUUAUACCAGUCAAAGUAUAAUGCUGUAAUUCCAAUCGUCUGGACUGGGAAGUUCCCGGUAAAUCCAAAAAGCAGAACCUGUGAGAGUUGAUUUAAAGCCAGGAUCGAAUCCGCAAUUCUUUUCAAGAACUUUGUCAGUAUGUCUCCACAGCUGGACCCUUAGAAUUGGACGUAGCAGCGCAUCCCUUCCGACCAGGAGAUUGAAUAUAUAUAAAAUCACUGAGAAGUGGAAAGGACCGUAUCGAGUCAUUUUAACAACCCUUAUAGCAGUAAAGGUCUGGGAGAAGAACCUUGGCUUCAUUAUUCAAGAAUAAAGAAAGCACCAACAAGAAACCGGAAGUCUAAAGAAACUGGCCCUUUAAAACUGAAAAUCUAUAAGUAAGUUUCACGUUAUCUGUUUGGGAAAACAGC